AUUGACUUGGCGUAAUAGACUAUUCGCUGAGGAAUUCUAGUCUUCGGAUUAGAGCCGGGUUGGGUUAAAGGAAGCUUCUAAUCAGAAUGUCUACAUUUUAAGAUUAGAUCUCAAAUCAGGUAGGACUACCCGCUGAACUUAAGCAUAUCAAUAAGCGGAGGAAAAGAAACUAACAAGGAUUCCCCUAGUAGCGGCGAGCGAAGCGGGAAGAGCUCAAAUUUAUAAUCUGGCACCUUCGGUGUCCGAGUUGUAAUCUCUAGAAAUGUUUUCCGCGUUGGACCGCACACAAGUCUGUUGGAAUACAGCGGCAUAGUGGUGAGACCCCCGUAUAUGGUGCGGACGCCCAGCGCUUUGUGAUACAUUUUCGAAGAGUCGAGUUGUUUGGGAAUGCAGCUCAAAUUGGGUGGUAAAUUCCAUCUAAAGCUAAAUAUUGGCGAGAGACCGAUAGCGAACAAGUACCGUGAGGGAAAGAUGAAAAGCACUUUGGAAAGAGAGUUAACAGUACGUGAAAUUGUUGGAAGGGAAACGCUUGAAGUCAGACUUGCUUGCCGAGCAAUCGGUUUGCAGGCCAGCAUCAGUUUUCCGGGAUGGAUAAUGGUAGAGAGAAGGUAGCAGUUUCGGCUGUGUUAUAGCUCUCUGCUGGAUWCAUCKKGGGGGACUGAGGAACGCAGUGUGCCUUUGGCGGGGGUUUCGACC
rnacentral:rRNA from 1 species